rnacentral:lncRNA from 1 species
GUUAUUGUGUAGAUGAAUGUGUAGGUUAUGUGGUUAGUGGUGGUUAUUGUGUUUAUGAAUGUGUAGGUUAUUGUGUAUAUGAAUGUGUAGGUUAUUGUGUAUAUGAAUGUGUAGGUUAAUGUGUAUAUGAAUGUGUAGGUUAUUGUGUCUAUGAAUGUGUAGGUUUUAAUUGUUGUAUA